rnacentral:rRNA from 1 species
UACGUAGGGUGCGAGCGUUAAUCGGAAUUACUGGGCGUAAAGCGUGCGCAGGCGGUUUUGUAAGACAGAUGUGAAAUCCCCGGGCUCAACCUGGGAACUGCAUUUGUGACUGCAAGGCUAGAGUACGGCAGAGGGGGAUGGAAUUCCGCGUGUAGCAGUGAAAUGCGUAGAUAUGCGGAGGAACACCGAUGGCGAAGGCAAUCCCCUGGGCCUGUACUGACGCUCAUGCACGAAAGCGUGGGGAGCAAACAGG